UGUAAGAAGAGUGUCAAACCAAAACGCUUCCUAUCCAGCACAGAAAAAGGUGUUUUUCUCAUCCUCUGUAAUUAUGGCUUUCUUCACAUUGUUUUUGCAUCCACUGUUGGGUUGGAUUGAUUGUUAGAGGGUUGACAGACUUCCUGACAUGUUUUUCUUUCUCUCUUUCUGUCACCACAGAAUCAGGCAAAGCUGUUUGUCCAACAGCGGAAGGAAGCCGACCAAAAUACCAAUGAGGAACUUGCUAUGUUCUCAUUGAAAAUUGCCUUUAUGAUGACGCUAUCAAGCACUCUCUUUACUGCUACAGGACAUCAAGUAUGCAGACUUGGCUCUGUAUGAGUUGAGCAGAGUGAUCGCACUGGAGCCCAGCAGACCAGAAGUGUAUGAGCAAAGGGCAGAGGUGAGGAGCAGAGGUCCACGCACCACACGGACGUCUUAUCUUCAGGAUGCACUUUGAUUUCGACUUGAGUAGACACUUCAAAUAAUGUCCAGAGCAGAAAGAUAGCGCUGGUUCAGUCCAGAAACUCCAUGUUUGUCAGCUUUAGCACAAGUGAAGAUAUUUAUCGUUAUCUGGUUGAACAGUAACUUGAUUUGUGCAUUAUAAACACCACAGCGUGUCUUUGUGGUGAUACACAUUGUAAGAGUAAGCUUAUUUCAUUUAUUUGUGUUUAUUGGAUUUAGGAUAGCAAUAUAUAACUGUGCUUGACACAGGCUUUAAAAAAACAUUCAUUUGUCUGUUAAUGAAAUUUAUUGUUGGCCCACUGAAGAAAAAAGUAUGAAUUAUAAAAAAAUAUUUGUGUAUAUUUAAAAGAGAAUCCAUUUGAUUGGGAAUUGCUAAUUACAGUGCAUUAAGGCUAAAAUAUUUUACCUAACGUGUUCCCUGGGAAUCAAACCCACAACCUCGCGCUGCUAACGCAAUGCUCUACCACUUGAGCCACAGGAACACAUGUGACUUCCCCGUCAGUUUUCCGUGUUUGUUGCUGAUACAGUGCCUUCGAGACUAUAGUGUUAAUUAAUCAUGUAAUUUUGUCACACAACUUUUGUUGGACUGAUGACAUUUUUGACUCUGUUCUGUUCCUUUCAUAUUCCAUCUUAUGAUUUGGAAAAAUAGCCCAUUCUUAUUUUUUUUAAAUCCAGCCCCAUUGAUAAAAGAAAUAAACCAGAAAAUAAUCCUUUUUAGUUUAUAAUGGAUACAGUCAAUUCUGCCUCGUUAAUUAUUGUUAUCUUACAUACUAUAUUAUUAAAGGAAUAAGCACAACUUUUCAAAGAUUUGGGGUAGCAAAUGUGUAUAUAUACAGUCAUUACAAAUGAAACUAAAUAUUAUAUCAAUUGCCUCUUUUAUUACCGUCGACUGUGAGUGACGUCACUUCCCAAUGCAAACACACCCAAUAAACUUCCCAAUGCAUUUUGGUUAAAUUGUGUUGAGCCUAUCAUUCGAUAUCUUUAUGUCCUGUAGAAG